GGAACUACUGGGCGUAAAGCGUGCGCAGGCGGUUGCGCAAGACAGGUGUGAAAUCCCCGGGCUUAACCUGGGAACUGCACUUGUGACUGCACGGCUAGAGUACGGUAGAGGGGGAUGGAAUUCCGCGUGUAGCAGUGAAAUGCGUAGAUAUGCGGAGGAACACCGAUGGCGAAGGCACUCCCCUGGUACCUGUACUGACGCUCAUGCACGAAAGCGUGGGGAGCAAACAGGAUUAGAUACCCUGGUAGUCCACGCCCUAAACGAUGUCAACUGGUUGUUGGACGGCUUGCUGUUCAGUAACGAAGCUAACGCGUGAAGUUGACCGCCUGGGGAGUACGGCCGCAAGGUUGAGACUCGAAGGAAUUGACGGGGACCCGCACAAGCGGUGGAUGAUGUGGUUUAAUUCGAUGCAACGCGCAAAAACUCUACUACCCUUGACAUGCCUGGAAUCCUGUAGAGA
rnacentral:rRNA from 1 species